CUACGGGUGGCAGCAGUGGGGAAUAUUGCACAAUGGAGGAAACUCUGAUGCAGCAACGCCGCGUGGAGGAUGACACUUUUCGGAGCGUAAACUCCUUUUAUAUAGGAAGAAGAUGACGGUACUAUAUGAAUAAGCGCCGGCUAACUCCGUGCCAGCAGCCGCGGUAAUACGGAGGGCGCAAGCGUUACUCGGAAUCACUGGGCGUAAAGAGCGUGUAGGCGGAUUAAAAAGUCAGAAGUGAGAUCCUAUAGCUUAACUAUAGAACUGCUUCUGAAACUCUUAAUCUAGAAUAUGGGAGAGGUAGAUGGAAUUUCUGGUGUAGGGGUAAAAUCCGUAGAGAUCAGAAGGAAUACCGAUUGCGAAGGCGAUCUACUAGAACAUUAUUGACGCUGAGACGCGAAAGCGUGGGGAGCAAACAGGAUUAGAUACCCCUGUAGUC
rnacentral:rRNA from 1 species